rnacentral:tRNA from 1 species
CGGGGAGUGGCGCAGCGGUAGCGCUCCCGCUUUGGGAGCGGGAGGUCGGGAGUUCGAGUCUCCCCUCCCCGA